rnacentral:rRNA from 1 species
GUGAAAUGCGUAGAGAUCUGGAGGAAUACCGGUGGCGAAGGCGGCCCCCUGGACGAAGACUGACGCUCAGGUGCGAAAGCGUGGGGAGCAAACAGGAUUAGAUACCCCUGGUAGUCCACGCCGUAAACGAUGUCGACUUGGAGGUUGUGCCCUUGAGGCGUGGCUUCCGGAGCUAACGCGUUAAGUCGACCGCCUGGGGAGUACGGCCGCAAGGUUAAAACUCAAAUGAAUUGACGGGGGCCCGCACAAGCGGUGGAGCAUGUGGUUUAAUUCGAUGCAACGCGAAGAACCUUACCUGGUCUUGACAUCCACGGAAGUUUUCAGAGAUGAGAAUGUGCCUUCGGGAACCGUGAGACAGGUGCUGCAUGGCUGUCGUCAGCUCGUGUUGUGAAAUGUUGGGUUAAGUCCCGCAACGAGCGCAACCCUUAUCCUUUGUUGCCAGCGGUCCGGCCGGGAACUCAAAGGAGACUGCCAGUGAUAAACUGGAGGAAGGUGGGGAUGACGUCAAGUCAUCAUGGCCCUACGACCAGGGCUACACACGUGCUACAAUGGCGCAUACAAAGAGAAGCGAUCUCGCGAGAGCAAGCGGACCUCAUAAAGUGCGUCGUAGUCCGGAUUGGAGUCUGCAACUCGACUCCAUGAAGUCGGAAUCGCUAGUAAUCGUGGAUCAGAAUGCCACGGUGAAUACGUUCCCGGGCCUUGUACACACCGCCCGUCACACCAUGGGAGUGGGUUGCAAAAGAAGUAGGUAGCUUAACCUUCGGGAGGGCGCUUACCACUUUGUGAUUCAUGACUGGGGUGAA